UCUGAAUCCGACAUUUCGCCAAGAAAUUAUACGAUUCUUGUCACACGCGAAUAUUACUAAGCAGUAGGAUUAUUAGGUUAGAUCAACAAGACCCACGAGAUCAACAGUAGAACUAAACGCCAGCCAAAAAUUUUUUUAGAUUGAUUCAUCCUAUCAUCAACAACGUAGCAGCAGGGUCAUCAGAGCCAACAAAAACAUCGGAACGGAUAAAUCAAUUUAAUAAACACAUUUCGACCAACUGCAUACGGCACGCACUCCGGAAGGGUAGAAUUUUCAAGAGCAUACCAUUAUUUCAGAGCAUACAAAUUGAAAACUGUAUAUUAGAUACAUGUUUAUUCCAUGAAGAAAAUUAUUUCGAUCACUGUAUGCUAAUUUAAACGAUCUUCAAUGUCUGUAUAAAUACAUUGACUCGCAUUAAUAUUCGGACACAA